rnacentral:misc_RNA from 1 species
AUUUCAAGAGGAGAGGAGAAAUGUGUCAUCUACUCUGCCGAAUUUUUCCCUCCAUUGGUGAAAUUUAUCCUUUGAGUUUGGAAGCUAAAAUACUGCCCUUAACAUCAGGCAAAAAUGUGGACUGAGACUUUACUGAUUUUCGACAACAUGGGAGAAAUUGGGCUGUGGUUGGACGAAGAAGUCCACGGAAGCUUCGGCCAAAUGCACCAUGCAUACACUGCAGUGGCCUGACCCUGCGGACAUGCCGGUGCCCGGCCUAAGACAUCCCUCGAUGGAUUUGAACUUUGACUUCAGAAUGGACAGAGCUGGAUAUUUGUCAGCUUGUAAGAAACUGAACUUAUGGCCCAUAGCAAAAAAAGUGAACUGAACUUUAAAAAUGUAUUUGAAAUUGUGUGGUCUUAUUUUUGUCGAAUGAUCUGAGUGACGAAUUCGGACCAAGUACCAGGCACCGUGGUGAGUUUGUUUGAAGAACAUUCUGAGAGGGAAGAGAGACGGCCUUCGAGUUGGAUUUCUGGAACGGCGAUGACCGAUUAGCAAGGAGAUCUAGAUGAAGACAUCCUAGGCAACUUUGGUAAUAAAUCUAAAAAAUUACAACAUUGGAAAAAUUUCAAUUCGCUCACUUCUCUCUAGUCUUCCCGUUUCCCAAAAUGCAGAGCUUUGCAGGCAGCCCCGAGAUGGUUUUUUUCUACACAAGCGACACCUGGAUUACUGGCCUAGGAGAAGUCGUCGACUUGCUGAAUACCAAGCAAUCCAUGGUCGUUGGCUGGAUGCACUCUCCACCAAUUUGUUUCCUCCAAGUCCAUCCAAGUAGGCUUGAGCUGUACUGCAAAAAUGUGACAUUUGCCCCAAACUGUAUCUCCUUUUUUUUCACUGGGUUGGAAGAGAAGUCCACAUAUUGAGAAAAGAUUUCUUUUGUGAAAUUUGAUGUAAUGAGCCUGUGCACUGUAAAAGUGUAGGGCUUUUUAAAAAAACAUUCUGAAGUGAUAUCUACCUCCCAAAGAUGUCCAACUGUUUGAUAAAUCUUUUGGGAAAUCUUUAAAAAAGUAUACUAAUAUUGACCAACAUCUGGAUAAUUUGUGCAUGAAGCCCGGGAAUUUUUGCGGGGGCCCUGUUUUUGUUUUGUUUUUUCUUUAUCACAUCUCGACAGCCAGGCGACUACAUCAGGUUAGAACUACCUGUCCACCCAGUACAGAGACAGCUCUCAAGACCGACCUUUUGGAAGACGAUGAACGAUUGGAACCAGAAGGAACAGUGGCUUCUGUCACACCCUACUUGACUUGCAUGCCUAUUGGACUUCUCAAUAAUGCAAAGCUUGCCAGGUGGCUUCGAAAUGGAUUACCACUCCAGGUGGAUAUGGAUCAUCGGACUAGCACCAGAAUCGCCUUACUGCUCACUACACAGCGCACAGCUGUCGGACACUCUCUCCACUGCAUCUUUCCUGUCGGCCUAUCAAGGUUCCUGAAGACACCAGCAGUAGACCGUCGAACAUCGGGAGCUGCUCCUAUUCACCCUGCUCAGCUUGUUUCUCAUUUACUCAUCAUUCAAAAGAGUGAAUGUUCGCUAGCCUCCCUGGGAACGCUCACUCUCACUGAAACUAGGGACAAGACAGUGGGGUGAAAUGUCU